rnacentral:rRNA from 1 species
UACGUAGGGGGCAAGCGUUAUCCGGAUUUACUGGGUGUAAAGGGAGCGUAGACGGCAAGGCAAGCCUGAUGUGAAAACCCAGGGCUUAACCCUGGGACUGCAUUGGAAACUGUCUGGCUCGAGUGCCGGAGAGGUAAGCGGAAUUCCUAGUGUAGCGGUGAAAUGCGUAGAUAUUAGGAAGAACACCAGUGGCGAAGGCGGCUUACUGGACGGUAACUGACGUUGAGGCUCGAAAGCGUGGGGAGCAAACAGG